UUAUUUUUAUGUUAAUUGCUUUUGCUGAUUUUUACAUCUCAUUACAUAUAUUGUUCGGGUUCUAUAGUUUUUUAUUAACAUUUCUGAAUCCUCUGUCUGUAGAGAUACCUUCUUUAUCUCCUACUACACCUGUGUAGCUGUUUUCUGACUUGGUCAACUUUUAAACUUUUAAAAUCUAGUACUGUGUAUUCUUUAAUGCUACCAAUUGCAGUAAUAUAUAAUGGAUAAAUUGUCUGAACUCAAACAUUAAAAGCAGUUCUAAAACCCUGAUGAAAUGAUAUUACUUGUGAAUAUUUCAAAGAAAGAAAGCCUGAAUUUAUGGUUUACCUAUAUCCAAGGCCAGUCUUCAUGAAAAGACUCAAAGAAGGGAACACGGGAUCAGAAAGCCAAAAAGAAAAGACAUGGAGAAGUGCCUGAAGAUAUGAGUCACUGGAGCUCACAAAAAUGAUACCAACAGACAUGUUAAAGAGGACGGAGAAAACCUAUGAGGCUUCAACCCAACACGAAGAACAAUAAGCAGCUGAGGAAAAACUGGGAAUGAGAAAGGCAGCCUUCCCUGGGGGAGAAGUCACCAAGUGGUUGUUAAGUGAUUAUCUCUGAAAACAAACAUGCAGAUUGCCCACAAAAACAAGCACACAUAUUGGUUAUCAAUAUUGGAUUGAAGCAGAGAAGAGAGAAAACACUCACGUUUCUUCUGUUGUUUGAUUUCGACAACGCAAUGCUCAUAGCUACUCUUGGUGUGCUUGUGAGUUUCAGAGGCUUGGACUAACACCCAUAAUUGCCAAGAGAAUUUGAAGCCUCGGAAAGUUCCAUGUGCAGGCUGACAUGUGUCAAUUCCCCAGGUUCGUCAGAUGUUUUCUUUGAGAUUUCCCUUCACGAGCCCUUGGAGAUGAAAAUAUUCAAGAUUAGUCACAAAAUACAUAUUUGAUCAUAUGUAAAGUGAGCCUUUCUUGUGGUGCUAUUACUAAUGAUUGCUGUAUUUAUAAGAUUAUUUUCUGAAUUGUAUUGUCAGUAUUGCUUGGGCAGUCUUAAUAAUAUUGUGUCGAUUACCUUUGGUUAAUUACUUGGGCCUUUUUUUGUCUUUUUUCUACUUUGUAUUUUUUUCUUUCAUUUUUUUUUCUUUUGAGACAGAUCUUCUUCUUUGUAUGUGUAGGUUUUCUUCAAAUGCAUAAUCCUCCUGACUCAAGACUCCCAGUACUAGAGUUACAGAAGACAGCCACCAGCCCUGCUCUUUUUCUUAGGUAUAUCCAGUAAAUUUCUGAUUGAUAUCAAUCCCCUCCAUUGCUCAUACAAACACUUCAGCUGCCCUCUUUCGCCCUGCACCUAACCAAUUACGUGUAGGAUCAGGUGUAUUCCAAACUAUAAUCGAAACAGUCGCACAUAUUCAAAGCUGUAUUAAAGCACAUAAUUACAAUGACAAGUUAUGUCACACUGUUUCCUUUAUUUGUUGUGA